GAAAAAUUGGCUGAAAUCAUUGUAACUUUUGGAUGACCAGUUUAAUAUUCUGUGGUUUUAGACUCGUAUUGCUCAUAUACAUACCAACUUAACCAAACUCUGUUCUUGUAUUUGUUCCAAUGACAUGUAAAAUGCAAUGUUACCCUACCAUCCCUACCCUUCUUGGAGUAAACUAAUGGACAACAAUACUUCUACUGCUACUUACAGCUAUUUUCGCUCACAUCUACGAGACCUGUAUUUAAACAAUUAUACAUGUAUUGCUAAUUUCCCCUUGCUUCAAGUGCUGGAUUUUCACCCACAGCGGCCAAUCCACCAUUCAUUCUGAUCGUAAAUCUAACCCUCCAAUGUCUACAGAUUAACCCAUCUUUCCCGGUAUAAUGCCAUUUUUAUAUUUCCUUUUGCAAUACAUCCCUCCAUUUUACUAUGAUGUCUUUUGAGUCCUUGUAACAUUUCUACCGAUAUUGCCAAAAAAAUAAAUACUUUACCCAAGAGUAUAAUCAUAUUUCCCAUUGACUGAUCUGAAAAAACACGAUCUCCUAACAAUACAGUUUUCAUGUCCCUGAUAUUAUGGCAUAACAACCAUCCCUGGACCUGACUGCAAAGUGAGCCACCAAUAGACACAAUCAGAAAAUAUAUUCUAGUGAUUCUACUUCCUCGUGGCAGAGUCUGCACAAGGCUGACUGUUCAAUGUCCCAUAUAUAUUGAGCAUUAUUUUUGUAGCAAGUAUUUUUAUGUAAUAGCUUAAAUUGAAACAAACGGAUUGAUGUGUCAAUUGUUUAUGUCAGUUCAUAGACCCGAUGCCAAGGUAUUGGGACAUCAAAACCUCUUCCCAAAUUACUAGAAUUUCUGUACUGUACUGCUGUCAAACCUUUUGACAACUGUUUUUUUUCUGUAUCAGUACAUUAGUUUAGCCAUAUUAUUUGCUCUAAUAUUAGAUCUGCCUUUUCUGGAGGAUGAAAUUGAAAUUGUAAUACUUUAAAAAGGAGGAUACUUUAAAACAGGGAUCCAUUGUGAAUCCAAUGAAAAUGUAAGGUUUUAAUAUGCAAACAGGCAUAGAGCCCACUCAAACAGGAUUGGCCUCUCUUAGUAGCUUGCUAGAAAACCAAUUUGGAUGUAGAUACAAUGGAGGCUUUAAGAGAGGUUUAAUGCCGUAAUAUUUAAUAGCUUUAUCCCUACAAACUCAUAUUGGUUAUAUAAAUAUGCUCGUUUAAUUUUAUCUGGUUUGCCAUUCCAAAUAAUGUGAAUUUUUCCCCCCCCCAUGAUUUGAAAAAGGAUUCUCCUGGAGAUGGUAGAGCCAUGGAAUAAAUAUGUAAACUGCAAUAUCAUGAGAGAAUUAAUCGGGGAAAUCUUCCCUUAAAUGGAUAAGUGUUUCCCUUUCCACUGUUUCAAGAUUCUAUCUAUUUUGCUUUUGAUCGAAGUUAAUAGUUGCAAGAUCGCUCAACUUUUCCAGGAUAUGUUACAUCAAGCACAUGAUCGUCACCAUCCGCCCAUUUAAAAUCAGGAGACCACAUGGCAAUUUAAAGUUUGUAUCUUUUAGAGACCCAAUCCGUAAUACACAGUUGAAGUCGCAAGUUUACAUACACUUAGGUUAGAGUCAUUAAAACUCGUUUUUCAGCCACUCCAUACAUUUCUUGUUAACUAUAGUUUGUUUUGGCAACUCGGUUAGGACAUCUACUUUGUGCAUGACACAAGUAGUUUUUCCAACAAUUGUUUACAGACAGAUUAUUUAAACUAUAAUUCACUCUAUCACAAUUCCAGUUGGUCAGAAGUUUACAUACACUAAGUUGACUGUGCCUUUAAACAGCUUGGAAAAUUCCAUAAAAUGAUGUAAUUUUAUGGAAGCUUUAGAAGCUUCUGAUAGGCUAAUUGAAAUCAUUUGAGUCAAUUGGAGGUGUACCUGUGGAUGUAUUUCAAGGCCUACCUUCAAACUCAGUGCCGCUUUGAUUGACAUCAUGGGAAAAUGAAAAGAAAUCAGCCAAGACCUCAGAUAAAAAAAUUAUAGACCUCCACAAGUCUGGUUGAUCCUUGGGAGCAAUUUCCAAAUGCCUGAAGGUACCACGUUCAUCUGUACUGUCACGCCCUGACCUGAGAGGGAGGGUUUGUUUCUCUAUGUGGUUAGGUCAGGGUGUGGGGUGGGCAUUCUAUGUGUUGUAUUUCUUUGUGUUGGGCCGAGUAUGGUUCCUAACCAGAGGCAGCUGUCUAUCGUUGUCUCUGAUUAGGAACCAUACUUAGGCAGCCUGUUUUUCCUUUGGGUUUUGUGGGUAGUUGUUUUGUUCCUUGUAACCUGACAGAACUGUUGACGGUCAUUAUUGUUGUUUGAUUUAGUGUUUUCAUUAAAGUAAAACAUGAGCACUU
rnacentral:lncRNA from 1 species